AUUGAACGCUGGCGGCAGGCCUAACACAUGCAAGUCGAGCGGAGCGGCGGACGGGUGAGUAAUGACUAGGAAUCUGCCUGGUAGUGGGGGAUAACGUCCGGAAACGGGCGCUAAUACCGCAUACUAUCAGAUGAGCCUAGGUGGGAUGAGCUAGUUGGUGGGGUAAAGGCCUACAAAGGCGACGAUCCGUAACUGGUCUGCGAGGAUGAUCAGUCACACUGGGACUGAGACACGGUCCAGACUCCUACGGGAGGCAGCAGUGGGGAAUAUUGGACAAUGGGCGAAAGCCUGACCCAGCCAUGCCGCGUGUGUGAAGAAGGUCUUCGGAUUGUAAAGCACUGUAAGUAGGGAGGCGUUACCAACAGAAUAAGCACCGGCUAACUUCGUGCCAGCAGCCGCGGUAAUUC
rnacentral:rRNA from 1 species